UUCUUCACUACUCCAUUCAUUACCUUCAUAACUUGGAACAUUGGAAAUCCAUCUUCCUGAUACGUGUCGUUGCAAGCCUGUGGCAUUACUUUGCUUUUGAGCCGUAUUUUCUUCCAUUGACCUAUUAAGUUUUCAAAUAUAUAGUCAUGGACUAAAAUUCGCUUUUUGUUUACUUAUAAAACCGUUAUUGAUGUACUAUUGUUCAUGCGUAAAGUUGGAGGUGAAGGGAUAGUAGUAGAUUGCUGACUACCACAUAGUCACUGCAUAACAUUGACUUCGCCAGCCCCAUACGUUAACAAGCACAAGCUUGUAGGUUAUUUAUUGUUUUAAGCACAAAAAUUGUAAGCAAACACCUUUUCAGAAUGUAGCAGAUAUUCAUUGUUUUUGAUGUGGCUUACGCGUAAUCCUAGAAGCGUUUGUUGAAGAAAUCAAAGUACUUUUAAUAUCUAAUCAGCUAAUAGGAAUGAUGAACAAAUACAUCAAUCUUCAAAUUUAACAUAUUAGUAU